rnacentral:rRNA from 1 species
UACAGAGGUGGCAAGCGUUGUUCGGAAUUACUGGGCGUAAAGGGCGUGUAGGCGGUUCGGUAAGUGGAAUGUGAAAUCCCCCGGCUUACCCGGGGAACUGCAUCCCAUACUGCUGGACUUGAGUGCGGGAGAGGAUGGAGGAAUUCCUGGUGUAGCGGUGAAAUGCGUAGAUAUCGGGAGGAACACCAGUGGCGAAGGCGACUUCCUGGCCUGUUCUUGACGCUGAGGCGCGAAAGCUAGGGGAGCAAACGGG